GACGAACGCUGGCGGCGUGCUUAACACAUGCAAGUCGAACGGAAAGGCCCUGCUUGCAGGGUCCUCGAGUGGCGAACGGGUGAGUAACACGUGGGUGAUCUGCCCUGCACUUCGGGAUAAGCCUGGGAAACUGGGUCUAAUACCGGAUAGGAGCCAUUUUUAGUGUGAUGGUUGGAAAGUUUUUUCGGUGUAGGAUGAGCUCGCGGCCUAUCAGCUUGUUGGUGGGGUAAUGGCCUACCAAGGCGGCGACGGGUAGCCGGCCUGAGAGGGUGGACGGCCACAUUGGGACUGAGAUACGGCCCAGACUCCUACGGGAGGCAGCAGUGGGGAAUAUUGCACAAUGGGCGCAAGCCUGAUGCAGCGACGCCGCGUGGGGGAUGACGGACUUCGGGUUGUAAACUCCUUUCGCUAGGGACGAAGCUUUUUGUGACGGUACCUAGAUAAGAAGCACCGGCUAACUACGUG
rnacentral:rRNA from 1 species